AGUCACGUGGUCUUGUGGUAAGAUUCUUGGCUUUGACGCGAGAGGUCCCGGGUUCAAUCCCGCUGUGGCUU
rnacentral:tRNA from 1 species